rnacentral:snRNA from 2 species
UGGUAAAUAUGUAUUUGCUGUAAACAGUUUUUGUAACACAUGAUACAUAUGGUUGUGAAAAUAGCAUAUAUAAAGGAUGGCUAUAAAUGACACAUUUGACAAAGGUUUUAGAUACACUAACUGGAAUAUGCGUAGUAUUAUUAUUUAGUAAAUAUUUUGUGGCGUAUGCAAAUAUGGUGUUUGAUUGGAAUUUAAGAUGGUAUUUGCUAGAAAACAUACCACAUUUGCCAAUUAUAUUAUUUAUUCUGAUGUUUAUUUUCGGAGUACCUUCUGAAAUGAUAAAAGAUAGGCAAAGGAAAAAUAACGGUGUUUAAUUUAUCGAUAUUUAGAGGUGAUAAAAUUUGUCAACUAUUACAAAGACUAAAAUAAAAAUCUUUAUUAA